UUCCGGUUGAUCCUGCCGGACCUUACUGCUAUCGGGAUGAGACUAAGCCAUGCAUGUCGAGCGCUCUUCAGCUAUGUAGAGAGCGCGGCGAACGGCUCAAUAACACGUAGUUAACCUACCCUCGGGAUGGGAAUAACCCCGGGAAACUGGGAUUAAUGCCCACUAGAUGAUUAUACCUGGAAUGGCUUAUCAUCGAAAGAGUCUGGAAACAUGCUUCCAGCGUCGCCCGAGGAUGGGACCGCGUCCGAUCAGGUAGUUGGUGGGGUAAUGGCCUACCAAGCCUAUAACCGGUACGGGCCCUGAGAGGGGGAGCCCGGAGAUGGAAACUGAGAAAAGGUUCCAGGCCCUACGGGGUGCAGCAGGCGCGAAACCUCCACAAUGCGCGAAAGCGUGAUGGGGUUAUCCCGAGUGCCGUCCGAUGAGGAUGGCUUUUUAUCGAUGUAAGGAUUCGAUAGAAUAAAGGGGGGGCAAGACUGGUGUCAGCCGCCGCGGUAAUACCAGCCCCCUGAGUGGUAAGGGCGAUUAUUUGGCCUAAAGCGUUCGUAGCCGGCUUAUCAAGUCUUUUGUUAAAUCCAACGAUUCAAUCGUUGGGCCGCAAAAGAUACUGUUAUGCUAGAGGACGGGAGAGGUCGACGGUAGUCCAGGGGUAGGGGUGAAAUCCUAUAAUCCCGGGAGGACCACCAGUGGCGAAGGCUGUCGGCUAGAACGCGCCCGACGGUGAGGGAUGAAAGCUGGGGGAGCGAACCGGAUUAGAUACCCGGGUAGUCCCAGCUGUAAACGAUGCAGGCUAGGUGUUGGCGCGGCUACGUGCCGCUCCAGUGCCGCAAGGAAGCCGUUAAGCCUGCCGCCUGGGAAGUACGGCCGCAAGGCUGAAACUUAAGGGAUUGGCGGGGGAGCACCACAAGGGUGAAGCUUGCGGGUUUAUUGGACUCAACGCCGGA
rnacentral:rRNA from 1 species